AGGGGGUAGGGUGGAUUUCACCCCCCAAAAAUGUGGAAUGGCCCCCUCAAUAUUCAAAAUUUUCGAUUUCCAAACUCCAAAAGUAUAGAAUUUCAAAAUUAAAAAAUCCUAAAAUUAAAAAAUUUCAAAUUUCCGAAAUUUAAAAAUUAUUAAGAAACUCACCCCAAUUCACUCCACUCCAUAGGAAAAUUCUAGUUACGAUAAUGCCUACAUACUAUAUCUCAGAAUAAUAUUUAAAGUUCCGUAGCGACUGUUGGGAUAAACAAGCUCGAAACUCAGCCAGUUUACAUCGAUCAAAACAUAAACAUAGCUUUCUGUAUAGACGACAUUCUUAAUUCAGUUUCACGCUAUCCGGCUGCGUGAUUACAUCGCGUUUCGUUUCGCACCGUAAAUGAGAACACAGAAAUUCGCGACUAAACGCUGAUUUGUAAUUUUAAUUAAUUACAGCAAAUAGUCCCACGUUGUAUCUUAAUUAUGAUUGAGUGUUAGUACGUGGUUCUAGUUGAUCAGUGAGAUACUUAUCGUGGUCUUAUGGAGAAUUAAAUACCGUUGUGUUGUUCGAUGUAGAUAAAAAAGUGACCGGAAUUUUAUUUGCGAUUAGGUGCUGGUAUCUUUCUAUUUGUUAACAAUCGUUGCUGAAUGAUGGUAGAUGAUUAAUUAUCUGGGAAGACAACAGACUGGUUCGAACAAGGAAUUCCGAGACUGGUCUGCAGUCGGACAACCAAUCAUCCCGGACAAGGGCGAGGGGGAGGGGAACGAGGCCAGGAACGUAAUCUUACGUAUCAAUUAGCUUCACGGUCCGAGGGACUUACCCCCCGCGGGCCUUUGACCGUGUGCCGCUUCGUCUUCGAGGUGUGAGAACCAAGACACUCUGCGCACAGUCGUUUUACAACGUCUUCAUCGUCCGUUGCCUGUCUUUCUCGUCUUCCUCUUUUCUCCUCGCCGCUCGCACGAGAGAGAGAACGAAGAGCAACGCAGCUGGACAGUUUCAGGGUAUCCAGUCGGGUCAGAUGGCUUUUAAAGCGUGCCAAAGGAAGAAUACAACUGGGAAGACGAUUCCAGCCGGAUAGAUUAGGUAUCCGAGGACCCCCGUGGCUACACGUGGGUCUUUUUCGGUGGGUGUUAAGUAAUACAUUAUGUGGCCAACACCUGGCACCGCGUGCGGACGGUCGCAUAAAGAUCUCAUCCUUUCGAGCAGAGAAAACGAUCGGGACUUGUUAACACUCCCGGAAACAACGCGGUCAGCCACUGGACAAACAUCUUUUUAUAUUAUAGAUUGUUCGCUCUUCUUUUAUUUUUAAUUCAUUUUAUUUUCCCUUGGGGAUGUAGAAGGAUUUUUAAUUUAAUUCUUUGAAAAGUUUUAUGUACCAGUCUUCCAUAUACUAUGAAAAGUUAUUAUAAAAUAUUUAGGGUACUUUGCAGAAAAUUUAUCAGAGAAAUGUAACUUCAACGAGAAAUAUUUUUAAAAUAUUUUAUUUUAUUUUAUAGAAAAUAGCUCACAGUAUACGAAUUAUGUAGAAUAGUAAAUAGAACAUUUCUAUUUUUAAUAAUUAAAGCUUCGAUACGUUCUAUAACAAAAUUGUUAAUUGAACUACUGUUUAGAGAAUUAAAAAUUUUACAAAAUUAAAUAAUUAAUUCAAUAUUAAAUUACUGAAUAAAAUUCCAUUCUUGGACUUCUGAGCAAGCAAAAUGAAAGCAGUGACCUGAAGGACCCCGAUACAUUUAGAACCCGCCUUAUUGGAGUCGCAGUAGGUGCGGUUAACGAAUUCAGAUGGGUCACGUUCACACCUUCGUCUGAUUAGGCCGAAGCAUAAUUUUCAGCGUCGAGGUGGAUAUGUUCGGACAGGGCCGUAGGUCGUCUCGACCAAACCCCAUGAAAGCAGCGUGUCCAGCCUCGUGAGCGUACCAAUGGUAGGG